rnacentral:rRNA from 1 species
CCUACGGGAGGCAGCAGUGGGGAAUCUUCCGCAAUGGACGAAAGUCUGACGGAGCAACGCCGCGUGAGUUAUGACGGCCUUCGGGUUGUAAAGCUCUGUUAAUCGGGACGAAAGGCCUUCUUGCGAAUAGUUAGAAGGAUUGACGGUACCGGAAUAGAAAGCCACGGCUAACUACGUGCCAGCAGCCGCGGUAAUACGUAGGUGGCAAGCGUUGUCCGGAAUUAUUGGGCGUAAAGCGCGCGCAGGCGGAUUGGUCAGUCUGUCUUAAAAGUUCGGGGCUUAACCCCGUGAUGGGAUGGAAACUGCCAAUCUAGAGUAGCGGAGAGGAAAGUGGAAUUCCUAGUGUAGCGGUGUAAUGCGUAGAUAUUAGGAAGAACACCAGUGGCGAAGGCGACUUUCUGGACGAAAACUGACGCUGAGGCGCGAAAGCCAGGGGAGCGAACGGGAUUAGAUACCCUAGUAGUC